CGUGGGAUAGUGUAAUGGUAACAUGCAAGGCUCAUAACCUUGAGACAGUAAUUGUUUAUGGUAGUUCGACUCUACCUCCCGCAA
rnacentral:tRNA from 1 species